CCAGGAGAGUUUAAUUUUCAGGCUGGCUCUAUAUCCUACCAUUUCAUAAGCCCCACUGUGGAUGCCUCUCAUAAUUAUUCUAGCAAAAGUCCCAGGGCUGACUCUCAGUGAUCCAUUUGGGGACAUCCAUGAACCAAUCGCUGUGGCUCUGAUUCGUUACGCCCAACUUCCUUAUUUGUAAGCCCCUCGUGUGUUGUGGUCAGCUCACCUGAGCUGCAUGGACUGAGAGCAUGGGAGAAUAGAUGCCCAUGAAAAAUGAAGUACCAUUACUAAGAGUGAGGAAGUGAUGCUGGGCAGGUAAAACAGCAGAGGCUCAUCAUAGGUUUCCAAAAUGUGAUCUCACUCUAACUUUUCACAUAUUUUUAACUGUGUGGGGACUUGGCAUCUGCCCCAAAAGUAGCAUUCACUGGGACUAUGAUGGGAAUGGAGACCCUGGCUUUUUGCAGUGCUUUGUUCUUCCUCUUAUCCCCCUGCUGCCACUAUUUCUUCAGCUUCUGGUCUUCCUAGAUUUCCAAUAUUUGGAGAAGAGAUAGAACUCAAAGCACAGGCUUCCAUAGAGAUACUGGGACUUCAGGAACCAAUUAUCCUUUGGCGUCAAACACCCAUUGGCCAGUGAAAGGUCCAGCAUACCACCCAGACCCGGUGGCUGCCUGAGGAGCAGAGGCGGGUAGACGGAGCACUCACAGUGUUGGGGGCAAGAAGAGAAGUGAAGGGAGGGAACAGGAGGGAGUGAUGUGCCACGAGUCACUGAAACAGACCUUCUCCGUCUCUCCUCCUGCCCCGUGUCUCCAGCCCCUCACUUCCCUGUUCCCGGUCAGUGACCUGACUCUCACUGUAGGGAUUCCCAUGAUGCAGUUUCCUGAUUUGGUAGGAUGUAUUUUACUAUGUAAACAUAGCCCCCUAAGAUUAUGGAGCCCAAAGCAGCAUUUCUAUCUCCAUGUACAUGAAGAAAGAUAAAAUAGUCCAGAAACCUCUGUGCUCAAAAGUUGGGCUGUUUCCUGAUUUUACACAAGCAGACUGACAUACUAGCUCUGUAAUCUUAGUCAUCAUGAUACAGUAACACUUGUACAUUCAUUUGAAAAACGUCAGGGAAAUUCUUCAGUAUACUGACAUAAAGGUGUGCCUUCAUUCCAUCGUGAAAUUGGGACUUGUAUGUGUCAUAAAUAGAGGUACAAAUGAACUAAAGAAAUUGUUUCUUAACAACUAGACAUUUUGAAACUGAAAGUCUACAGGGUCCCACAUCACUGCUUCAUGGCAUGAAGAGAACUUGCUCACUGGAUGAGCAUUUUCUAAGUACCACCCUGCCUAACUAAUUCAUCUUAUGGAGCAUGGAUUGAUUACAUAUGCACUUAAAAUGACUCUAUUUUAAGUGAAAUACAGCCUAUAAUAUAGAGGUUUUUGAGAAUGGCCUUCUAGUCCUGAGGAUUUCCCCCUGAGAUGAGCAGUGGAAGGUGAUUUACCCUACCAGUGAUUCUCUAGUGCUUCCAGGGAAGCAAAAAUCAUAUGUAAUGAAAGCAAAGACAUCAGUGCCAGUCCAGGGCAAACCCAUCACCCCACCCAAACCAGAAAAGCAGGAGCCUAAUGCCAUGGAAUGUGCUGCUUCUCCUUGCCAGCCACCAGCUGGACUGAGGGCUGCCUGGUGUGUUCCUGGAACUCAGAGCCAAUGGAAUUGGGGGAACGGGUCACACCAACUCUGCCAGAAACGGAAGCAGUCACUACCAGUACAAGAGAACCUAUCACUUUAAAGAAAAUAAUUAUCAUAAAGAUUAUUGGUCUACUAACAUUCUACCCUCCAGCACAGAGUGAAGAAUAGAUGCUAUAGAGGAGAAGAGUGGGAGUCGCUUAUGUUGGAAGAAAGGAGACUCAGAAUUUUGGAGACAGGAAGUCCUAACCUUUCUAUUUCCUGAAGAGGACAGAGGCACAGAGAGAUUCAGAUACUUAACCUAAGAUUACACAGCAUAGUCAGUCCAAGUAUCCAGGUCGCUGACCGUCCAGUUCAGUGUGUUUGUACUUGGGAUAGAACUUUUUAUUUUUAAUAAAAACAUGUAACAUUUCAGAGAAUUUAGAAAUUUUAGCAAAAAAACCCCACAAAACCCCAUAAUCACAACUUCCUGAAGACUAUUACCAUUUUUGUUUUCUUCCAACAUGUCUUCAUCUCCAUGUUUAAUACAACCAUAAUCAUUAA